rnacentral:rRNA from 1 species
CAUGUCUUUUAGAUUUUUAUUAAAGGUUGAUCCUGCUCAAUGAUAAGUGUUAAAUAGCUGCAGUAUUUUGACUGUACAAAGGUAGCAUAAUAAUUAGUUUUUUAAAUGGGAGCUAGAAUGAAGGGUUGGACGAAAACAUUACUUUAUUUUAUUUAUUUAGUGAAUUUUAUUUUUAAGUGAAAAAGCUUAAAUUAUUUUAAAAGACGAGAAGACCCUAUAGAAUUUUAUUAGUUAAUAUUAAUUUUUUUUAUUGAAUAAAUAUUUAUUAAAUAAGAUUAAUUUUAUUGGGGUAAUAGGAAGAUUUAAUUAAUUCUUUAUAUUUUUAUUCAUUAAUAUAUGUUUUUUUUGAUUUAAACUUAUUUUAUUUAUAGAUUAAAUUACCUUAGGGAUAACAGCAUAAUUUUUUUUUAAAGUUCUUAUUGAAAAAAAAGUUUAUGACCUCGAUGUUGGAUUAAAAUUAAAAUUUAACGAAGUAGUUAAAUUUUUAAGUCUGUUCGUCUUUUAAAAUUUUGCAUGAUCUGAGU